GCUUGUGGAUAAUUCUGGGGUACGAAGAGAGCAGCGGUGUUCUUCUCAAUCCAUGGACAGACCAGGUGAUGUUUUUCAUCCCGACUUCUCUAACGGAAAGGCUGCUUAUUUUGAUAUCUCAGUGCGAAAUUCAUUUUCUCCCUCACAUGUCAUCAAUGCAGCUGUAAAGGCUGGUGCUGCUGCUCAAGCUGGGGAAAUGGAGAAAGACGAACGCCACGACUCAAAUGUUUCCUCGUAUGGUUGCUUGUUCUAUCCUUUGGUUGUUGAGUCAUAUGGAGUCUGGUCACAGUUUCAGCCGAGCUAUUACUAACCUUCAUGAACAACUGUCUGUGAAACUGUGGCAAUACAACUCUCGCAUGAUAACUGAACAUCUAGAUGUUUUGUCUGUAGCAAGUGUUUGUUGUGGUGUUUUUCAGUAGUGUUCCGUCCAUUGGGCGGUUAUAAAAAAAAAAAAAAUUUAAAAAAAAAAAAAAAAAAAUAUAUAUAUAUAUAUAUAUAUAUAUAU